UACGUAGGGUGCGAGCGUUAUUCGGAAUUACUGGGCGUAAAGCGUGCGCAGGCGGUUUUGUAAGCCAGAUGUGAAAUCCCCGGGCUUAACCUGGGAACUGCAUUUGUGACUGCAUGGCUGGAGUGCGGCAGAGGGGGAUGGAAUUCCGCGUGUAGCAGUGAAAUGCGUAGAUAUGCGGAGGAACACCGAUGGCGAAGGCAAUCACCUGGGCCUGCACUGACGCUCAUGCACGAAAGCGUGGGGAGCAAACAGG
rnacentral:rRNA from 1 species